rnacentral:lncRNA from 1 species
GUGCACAUGGGAGACUCCAGGUGCAGGAGAGGGGGAGGUGGACUUCCUCUUGGUCUUCCCAAGCCAUGAAACUUCCUGGCUUGGUGGUAACAGAAGAGUCUCCUCCAGGACGGACUAGCCAGUCCUAACACAGGACUAGCGUUGCUCUACCACGUCCAAGCCUCCUCUGAGAUUCUUCCUCCAUGCAACCACUUCCCCUGGGGCGUGGCCACCUCCCUGGAAGCCGCCAGCAUGCUCGGCUGGGCCCCCGCACUCUGGAGGCUUGAGAAUCUCUCUAUUUUUGAAUGACGUCCUUAUCCUCUGCCCCCAGGCUGGUAACCAAAGGUCUGGGGGUGGUGACGUGCUGGGAAUGGUGUAACUCGUGAGAUGGAGGCUGAAUGUGGAAAUACAUGAAUGUGCUUCUCUUCUCUCCA